rnacentral:tRNA from 1 species
GCCACCGUCGCAUAACUCGGUAUUGCGCAGGUCUUGAAAACCUGUCCCUUGUGGAUUCCCGGUUCGAACGAAGCGAGAAACGGGUCGCGAAGUGAUUAGACUCGGUUCAAAUUCCGAUUUUCCGGGCGGUGGCG